rnacentral:rRNA from 1 species
GAUGAACGCUAGCGGCAGGCCUAAUACAUGCAAGACGAACGGUAAGUUGAGUAGCAAUACUUAGCCAAGAGUGUCGUACGGGUGCGUAACACGUAUGCAACCUACCCUAUACAGGAGGAUAGCCUAGGGAAACCUGGAUUAACCCUUCAUAGUAUUAUUGGAUGGCAUCAUUUGAUAAUUAAAACUGAGGUGGUAUAGGAUGGGCAUGCGUCUGAUUAGUUAGUUGGCGGGGUAAUGGCCCACCAAGACGAUGAUCAGUAGGGGUUCUGAGAGGAAGAUCCCCCCACACUGGCACUGAGAUACGGGCCAGACUCCUACGGGAGCAGCAGUAGGGAAUAUUGGUCAAUGGAUGCAAGUCUGAACCAGCCAUGCCGCGUGCAGGAAGAAGGCCUUCUGGGUUGUAAACUGCUUUUGCCAGGGGAUAAAAUUUCCAUGCGUGGAAAACUGAAGGUACCUGGUGAAUAAGCCACGGCUAACUACGUGCCAGCAGCCGCGGUAAU